AGUUAUCCUGCUCGGAGACAUGAAGACAGACGGACGGACAAAGUCUUUGCAUAAAACAGCCGAAUAACUUAAAUUUAACCAAGGAUCCCGAGCACUUAGGCCUUUGGAACUCUGCACGCAGCUGUAUAAACUCAUUGGCGAUUAAUUCCGCGUCGCCGAUUUUUAAUUUUUGUGACAGGUCAAAGUAUUUUGCAUUGGAUACUACAUACGAUUACGAGAAAAAUGAGCUAUCAUACGACCCUGUGCGAUUUGUUUGACGCCCACAGGAAUUUUUCGCCAAGAACAGUUUUACCACUAAGGAGGAGAUUGUACGAAGUGGUCAAUGCUAGAAAUUGAUUUCCUUUGGAUAUGUUGUAUCGUACCGUACCAUGUGAGUGUUGAAAAAGUGAAGGAGGGUUAGAGUCAAUACCCCCAAUACUCGGGGAAUAGUAAACUAUUUAUUUUUUAUGAAAACGUCAAGGUCGAAAAAUUAAUGACUAUGCUGGGAUUCCUUAUGGUCUGUCAACUACCAAAAAAUUAAAAUAUA